CUUGGGUUGUAAACCUCUUUUUCUCAGGGCAGAAGCUCUGACGGUACCUGAGGAAUCAGCCUCGGCUAACUCCGUGCCAGCAGCCGCGGUAAUACGGAGGAGGCACGCGUUAUCCGGAAUUUAUUGGGCCGUAAAGCGUUCCGCAGGUGGCGAAUUCAAGUCUGCUGUCCAAGCACGGGGCUUAACUCCGUUAAGGCAGUGGCACCUGCAUAAGCUAAAGUGCCGUAAGGGGUAGAGGGAAUUCCCGCUGGAGCCGCUGAAAUGCGUAGAGAUCGGGAAGAACAUCGGUGGCGAAAGCGCUCUACUGGACGGCAACUGACACUCAGGGACGAAAAGCUAGGGGAGCGAAUGGGAUUAGAUACCCCAGUAGUCCUAGCUGUAAACGAUGGAUACUAGGUGUAGCUUGUAUCGACCCGAGCUGUGCCGAAGCUAACGCGUUAAGUAUCCCGCCUGGGGAGUACGCACGCAAGUGUGAAACUCAAAGGAAUUGACGGGGGCCCGCACAAGCGGUGGAGUAUGUGGUCUAAUUCGAUGCAACGCGAAGAACCUUACCAGGGCUUGACAUGUCCGGAAUCCCGGUGAAAGCUGGGAGUGCCUUCGGGAGCCGGUACACAGGUGGUGCAUGGCUGUCGUCAGCUCGUGUCGUGAGAUGUUGGGUUAAGUCCCGCAACGAGCGCAACCCUCGUCUUUAGUUGCCAGCAUUAAGUUGGGCACUCUAGAGAGACUGCCGGUGACAAACCGGAGGAAGGUGGGGAUGACGUCAAGUCAGCAUGCCCCUUACGCUCUGGGCGACACACGUACUACAAUGGUCGGGACAGAGGGCAGCGAACCUGCGAAGGCAAGCUAAUCCCAGCAAACUCGGCCUCAGUUCAGAUCGCAGGCUGCAACUCGCCUGCGUGAAGGAGGAAUCGCUAGUUAUCGCCGCUCAGUAUACGGCGGUGAUACGUUCCCGGGCCUUGUACACACCGCCCGUCACACCAUGGAAGCUGGCCACGCCACGAAGUCGUUACCCUAACCU
rnacentral:rRNA from 1 species